AGGCAGCAGUGGGGAAUAUUGGACAAUGGGCGAAAGCCUGAUCCAGCAAUGCCGCGUGUGUGAAGAAGGCCUUAGGGUUGUAAAGCACUUUCAGUAGGGACGAAAAGCCGCAGGAUAAUACCCGGCGGUCUUGACUUAACCUACAGAAGAAGCACCGGCUAACUCC
rnacentral:rRNA from 1 species